CCUACGGGCGGCAGCAGUGGGGAAUAUUGCACAAUGGGCGCAAGCCUGAUGCAGCCAUGCCGCGUGUGUGAAGAAGGCCUUCGGGUUGUAAAGCACUUUCAGCGGGGAGGAAGGCGUUAAGGUUAAUAACCUUGGCGAUUGACGUUACCCGCAGAAGAAGCACCGGCUAACUCCGUGCCAGCAGCCGCGGUAAUACGGAGGGUGCAAGCGUUAAUCGGAAUUACUGGGCGUAAAGCGCACGCAGGCGGUCUGUCAAGUCGGAUGUGAAAUCCCCGGGCUCAACCUGGGAACUGCAUUCGAAACUGGCAGGCUAGAGUCUUGUAGAGGGGGGUAGAAUUCCAGGUGUAGCGGUGAAAUGCGUAGAGAUCUGGAGGAAUACCGGUGGCGAAGGCGGCCCCCUGGACAAAGACUGACGCUCAGGUGCGAAAGCGUGGGGAGCAAACAGGAUUAAAUACCCCAGUAGUC
rnacentral:rRNA from 1 species